CUGAGCUCCACUUUUCUUUGGAGGCAAGAGGAGUGGCAUUUGUAACUCUGGGUAAGAGUUGAAAUUACUCACAUAGAAGAAGGAGAUGGGACCGGCAUGGAAACUAAUCAUAAUCCCAAAGAUGAAAGUCAGCUGGGACAGCAUGAUAUGAAGUGCCACAGCAGCCAGGACGUUGAUCAGCAGAGCACUCACCAGGAAGAAGGAACCUGUGGAAGAAGAUGUUAGGUAGAAGGUGAAGUUU
rnacentral:lncRNA from 1 species